ACCCAGUUCGGAUUGUAGGCUGCAACUCGCCUACAUGAAGUCGGAGUUGCUAGUAAUCGCGGAUCAGAAUGCCGCGGUGAAUGCGUUCCCGGGUCUUGUACACACCGCCCGUCACACCAUGGAAGUUGGGGGCGCCCGAAGUUGCCUAAGAAAUAAGGUACCUAAGGCGAAAACCAAUGACUGGGGUGAAGUCGUAACAAGGUAUC
rnacentral:rRNA from 1 species